rnacentral:rRNA from 1 species
AUUGAACGCUGGCGGCAUGCCUUACACAUGCAAGUCGAACGGUAACGGGCCUUCGGGUGCCGACGAGUGGCGAACGGGUGAGUAAUGCAUCGGAACGUACCUUUCAGUGGGGGAUAACGUAGCGAAAGUUACGCUAAUACCGCAUAUUCUGUGAGCAGGAAAGCAGGGGAUCGCAAGACCUUGCGCUGAUUGAGCGGCCGAUGUCAGAUUAGCUAGUUGGUGAGGUAAAGGCUCACCAAGGCGACGAUCUGUAGCGGGUCUGAGAGGAUGAUCCGCCACACUGGAACUGAGACACGGUCCAGACUCCUACGGGAGGCAGCAGUGGGGAAUUUUGGACAAUGGGGGCAACCCUGAUCCAGCCAUGCCGCGUGAGUGAAGGAGGCCUUCGGGUUGUAAAGCUCUUUCGGCCGGGAAGAAAUCGCAUGGGUGAAUACCCUGUGUGGA